CUCUCCAUUACAGAAGUAUAGACCAAAUCGAGAGAGACGGAUCGCCUUGCCUCCGCCGCCCUCAUCCUUGCCGUCGGCUAUAAAGACGACGGCCGUUGCCGUCGCUAUUGUGCCGCGGUCGUCGCCUUUCCACUUGCAUUCCAUUCUCAACUCUCUAAGCCGAUUUCAUUCCUCUAAGUUUCAUCCCAUUUGGUGCAGCGGAUCGUCGGGAACGUGGACCUCGCCAUCGUUGCUCCGGAGCGCGCACCGAGUGCCGCCGUCGGGUUCUCGUCGUCGUUCCGACUGCUGUAGACCAAGACAAGCCGAGCCCUCGCGCCAACAUCUUCUCCUUGAAGUCCUCCUCAAAACCCCUCAAGAAAUCCCAGGCAAUGGCGCAGCAAGUGCGGAGAUCGGCCACCGUCUUCUUCACCUCCGGUCGCCGUCGCCAUUGUCGAUUCCACCUCCUCCGUUCUUGGAGCCGAUUGAGCCGUCGCCCAUCACUCCGCCACUCGGCGGCGGCAAGAACCUCCGGGGUGUCAUCGCUAUCUGGACCUCGCCAAGUUUCUUUGGACGCUCGGAUUUAGACUUAGACUUUGAGUGAUGCGAGUUUCGACUGCUUCUUCUAGGACUUGAACUUAAUGAGCCACUUUGGAUGGAACAUUUGAAGAGACAUCGGCGGCGUCGACGGCGGCGUCGGCGUGCCGGCGACGGCGACGACCGGCGGUGGCGUGCCGGCGAGGCGAGGUGGCGGCGGCGGCGGCUAGGCUAGGGCACUGGAGAUUGCACGGGAGAGGAGUAGUAGAGAUGAAAAUGCUUUUGGGGCAAUUUAGUCAUUUUCAUACGUGGGUCCCACAUGUCAGAGCUCAUUCUCUAAUAGAAGGUGGAUGGAAUGGUAGACGGGUAAACGAAAGUUUGUGUCAUGGCAUACAGGUGACUCAGAACUUUUUUGUGGCACACGCAUAACCUCUAACUUUUUUAAUGGCAUAGGGGGUAAAAGACUCACCCAUAGUCGGUAUGCUUGUGGAUUGGGUAGACAAGUUUCCGUUGUUCUAUUAUUUAUUUGGCUGGUCGGCCAACGUAACUUAAGUAGAUGUAGUUUAUAAUCACUUUCGUCUUAAUUGUGUUUGCUAUGUAUAUCUAUGCUUGAGAUGAAAGUGUGAAUCUAGUGCACAUCCUGGGAGCUAGAUUCAUAUGACUAUGAGUUAAGAAUAUUUGAGAUGUUGUAGAUUUUUAGCCAUU